UACGAAGGGUGCAAACGUUGCUCGGAAUCAUUGGGCGUAAAGCGCACGUAGGCGGCUCCAAAAGUCGGAUGUGAAAUCCCUGGGCUCAACCGAGGAAGUGCAUCCGAAACUGCGGAGCUUGAGUAUGGAAGAGGAACGCGGAAUUCCCAGUGUAGAGGUGAAAUUCGUAGAUAUUGGGAAGAACACCGGUGGCGAAGGCGGCCAUCUGGACCGCAACUGACGCUGAGGCGCGAAAGCGUGGGGAGCAAACAGG
rnacentral:rRNA from 1 species